GAGUUUGAUCAUGGCUCAGAUUGAACGCUGGCGGCAUGCCUUACACAUGCAAGUCGAACGGCAGCACGGGGAGGGGCAACUCUUCCUGGUGGCGAGUGGCGAACGGGUGAGUAAUGCAUCGGAACGUGUCCUCUUGUGGGGGAUAACCAGUCGAAAGACUGGCUAAUACCGCAUGAGAUCGAAAGAUGAAAGCGGGGGACCGCAAGGCCUCGCGCGAGAGGAGCGGCCGAUGCCGGAUUAGCUAGUUGGUGGGGUAAUGGCCCACCAAGGCGACGAUCCGUAGCUGGUCUGAGAGGACGACCAGCCACACUGGGACUGAGACACGGCCCAGACUCCUACGGGAGGCAGCAGUGGGGAAUUUUGGACAAUGGGCGCAAGCCUGAUCCAGCCAUGCCGCGUGUGUGAAGAAGGCCUUCGGGUUGUAAAGCACUUUCGGACGGAACGAAAUCGCGCGGGUUAACAGCCCGCGUGGAUGACGGUACCGUAAGAAGAAGCACCGGCUAACUACGUGCCAGCAGCCGCGGUAAUACGUAGGGUGCAAGCGUUAAUCGGAAUUACU
rnacentral:rRNA from 1 species